rnacentral:rRNA from 1 species
AUUGAACGCUGGCGGCAUGCCUUACACAUGCAAGUCGAACGGCAGCACGGGAGCAAUCCUGGUGGCGAGUGGCGAACGGGUGAGUAAUACAUCGGAACGUGCCCAGUAGUGGGGGAUAGCCCGGCGAAAGCCGGAUUAAUACCGCAUACGACCUAUGGGUGAAAGCGGGGGAUCGCAAGACCUCGCGCUAUUGGAGCGGCCGAUGUCGGAUUAGCUAGUUGGUGGGGUAAAGGCUUACCAAGGCUACGAUCCGUAGCUGGUCUGAGAGGACGACCGGCCACACUGGGACUGAGACGCGGCCCAGACUCCUACGGGAGGCAGCAGUGGGGAAUUUUGGACAAUGGGCGCAAGCCUGAUUCAGCCAUGCCGCGUGCGGGAAGAAGGCCUUCGGGUUGUAAACCGCUUUUGUCAGGGAAGAAACGGUCUGGGUUAAUACCUCGGACUAAUGACGGUACCUGAAGAAUAAGCACCGGCUAACUACGUGCCAGCCGCCGCCGUAACAC